rnacentral:lncRNA from 1 species
AACCAAACCUGCGUACCACCUAUUAUCCAUUCCUUUCUAGCACUAGGCAUGAAGUUUGCAAUGUAUGCCACCACUGCGCAUAAGGAGGCCAUGUAAAGGUGGAGUUAGCGACUUGAUCGAUCGAUCGUCAACGUGAAAUACUAUAAGAAGAUGCAUGUUGUAUAAGAUAAUUCGUUGCUUGUCAUACUAUAUUAGCCAUCAUAUCUUCAGAAACUUGACAUGUAUAAGUUCUUUUAGUUCAGAGCUUGCAGUCCAAUUGUAUCAAAUAUAAUCCCCCUGUAGUAUCUCAAUUUCGUACUAGAGCCCAAGGCAUUGUUGAGUCCUGGCAAAUGAAACUUCAAAAUAGUAGCUAGUAACCUUCCAUGGGUACACCGCAGGUACCAAAAGAGUAUCCUUUUAUAAUUGCAGACCAUUCAAGUCAGCACGAAAAUUUUGAAAGAGAGAAACGGAUUUAUCUUUGAAUGCAGAGAUGAUAUCAAAAGUCAUCUUUUUUUUCAAUGAUCUAAUACGGAGCCUAGCGUUUGGCACACUUGUGAUUGAGAGAAUAGUUCCUCGAUUCCCUUUCUAAUUUCUUCUUUUCUUGUUCCUUAUUUUAUGACCAAUUCUUGGUUGCAUCUCAGUUCUCACUAUCCUGUAGUAUUGGGAUUGGAACUCCCGAACAGAUGAGAGAGAGAGAGCGCACCAAAUGAGUAAGUGGGUAGAUGAACCAAUGGCCAAGAGUCCCCUCCUAUCCCCAAGCCACAGGGCUUUAUUUAUACGGAUGAGGGUUCUAUUUGUGGGGUCAAAUAUUAUAAACAGGUCCUUAUUGUUUACAAUAAUACCCCUAGAUGUCUAAAUUGAGCCCCUAGACCCUAAUUAGUCUAUCACUAAUAUUAAUAUUCCAUUGAGCCACUCCCCAAGCAAGCCAAAUGCAGCGAAUGCACCAAAUGCAGGUGUACUCCUUGCUAUUUCCACAACUAGUUUAUGUUUGGCUGCCAAGAGGGCAGAUUCGACAACAAGCACAUCUUCUCGCUUCAAAAGGACAGCUUCUUUCAGUCAUUCUUGGAAACUAUCACAGCCACAAGCUAUGAAGCAGAGACAUGGGAUAGUAUCAUGACGCAAUGCAAAAUUCCUGCUGCCUCGCAACCCCUAUACUCUUCCUUCACCAUGGAGUACCCUGAAAGAACAACACAUCAUUUGUGGCUGAGUUUGUGCUACUGAUCAGUAUAUGCACCAUCUUAUUAUACAUGUCUCUGCAAUUAUUAUCAUCUUCAAUGGUGGAACUAAACUAAAUUUUGUAGUAAUAUAUAGUAUUGAUCAUUUAUGCACUGAACAAAUAAAUUUUGCAUGCAUUCAGUUCUCAAUCGCUACAAUGAAAAUAAUUCAGGUUCUUUUAUUUUC